AUUGAACGCUGGCGGCAGGCCUAACACAUGCAAGUCGAACGGUAACAGGAAACAGCUUGCUGUUUCGCUGACGAGUGGCGGACGGGUGAGUAAUGUCUGGGAAACUGCCUGAUGGAGGGGGAUAACUACUGGAAACGGUAGCUAAUACCGCAUAACGUCGCAAGACCAAAGAGGGGGACCCUCGGGCCUCUUGCCAUCGGAUGUGCCCAGAUGGGAUUAGCUUGUUGGUGGGGUAACGGCUCACCAAGGCGACGAUCCCUAGCUGGUCUGAGAGGAUGACCAGCCACACUGGAACUGAGACACGGUCCAGACUCCUACGGGAGGCAGCAGUGGGGAAUAUUGCACAAUGGGCGCAAGCCUGAUGCAGCCAUGCCGCGUGUAUGAAGAAGGCCUUCGGGUUGUAAAGUACUUUCAGCGGGGAGGAAGGGAGUAAAGUUAAUACCUUUGCUCAUUGACGUUACCCGCAGGAGUAGCACCGGCUAACUCCGUG
rnacentral:rRNA from 1 species